rnacentral:lncRNA from 1 species
AGAGCUGGCAUUUCAGCUUGUUGUUUGCUAGUCGACUCAUAUUCGACUUAAAAUGGACUUGAGAUGAAAUCAUUCGUUUAAUAAGUAAGUCGGAUACGAGCUGAAUUUUUCAGCUAGAUAUCUUAAUGAGCCAAUAAUAAGCCAGAGUCAGCUCACUUGUUUUUCGACACUAUAUAGCUCGAAUAGAUAUACUUUAUGCUUACAUAGGUUAAUUUGCUUAUGAAUUGAUUUGUU